rnacentral:lncRNA from 1 species
CCCACACACCAACACCAGAGCUUAACUUCCCUUUCCCUAACCUAAUUUGUUCACUUCUCCCCAGGACCCCAGCGAUUAUCUGUGUUUUGCCUCCAUGGCAUCAGUUCUAGGAAGCAACCAUGAAGGAGAUUCCAGAGCCUGAAAGACAUUUGUCUUGUGUACUGGUGUGCUGAGUUGUUCCAUAAAGCAAAUCAAAAUCGCCGGUGAUCCAAGGGAUACCAAGCACGACUAGAGGAUCGCAA